AGCGAGAAAACCAAUGUUAAGGAACUCUGCAAAUUGACCCCGUAAGUUCGCGAGAAGGGGCGCCCAUUUUGAUGGGCCACAGUAAAUUUUGAGGGGCAACUGUUUAUCAAAAACACAGCUCUCUGCUAAACCGCAAGGUGAUGUAUAGGGGGUGAAGCCUGCCCAGUGCCCGAAGGUUAAAUGGAUGCGUUAGCUUAUGCGAAGCGUUGAAAUGAAGCCCGGGUGAACGGCGGCCGUAACUAUAACGGUCCUAAGGUAGCGAAAUUCCUUGUCGGCUAAAUACUGACCUGCACGAAAGGCGCAAUGAUCUCUCAACUGUCUCAACAUUGGACUCGGUGAAAUUAUGGUCCCAGUGAAAACGCUGGGUACCCGCAUCAAGACGAAAAGACCCCAUGGAGCUUUACUACAACUUCGUAUUGGAACUUGGCCUAACAUGUGUAGGAUAGGUGGGAGACUAUGAGAUUAUGACGCUAGUCAUAAAGGAGUCAACCUUGAAAUACCACCCUUGGUAUGUUGAGUUUCUAACUUGCCGCCGUUAUCCGGUGGGAGGACAGUGCGUGGUGGGUAGUUUGACUGGGGCGGUCGCCUCCUAAAAGGUAACGGAGGCGUUCAAAGGUACACUCAAUACGGUCAGAA
rnacentral:rRNA from 1 species